rnacentral:rRNA from 1 species
GUCCACGCCCUAAACGAUGUCGACUGGUUGUUGGGGGUUUGACACUCUCAGUAACGAAGCUAACGCGUGAAGUCGACCGCCUGGGGAGUACGGCCGCAAGGUUAAAACUCAAAGGAAUUGACGGGGACCCGCACAAGCGGUGGAUUAUGUGGAUUAAUUCGAUGCAACGCGAAAAACCUUACCUACCCUUGACAUGUCCUGGAGCCUGGUGAAAGCCGGGUGUGCCCGAAAGGGAACGGGAACACAGGUGCUGCAUGGCUGUCGU